UACGAAGGGUGCAAGCGUUACUCGGAAUUACUGGGCGUAAAGCGUGCGUAGGCGGUUCGUUAAGUCUGUCGUGAAAGCCCUGGGCUCAACCUGGGAAUUGCGAUGGAUACUGGCGAGCUAGAGUACGGUAGAGGAUGGUGGAAUUCCCGGUGUAGCGGUGAAAUGCGUAGAGAUCGGGAGGAACACCCGUGGCGAAGGCGGCCAUCUGGACCAGUACUGACGCUGAGGCACGAAAGCGUGGGUAGCAAACAGG
rnacentral:rRNA from 1 species